ensembl:lncRNA
UUGGGGUCCUAUGGGGUCUAUUGGGGUCUAUUGGGGUCCUAUGGGGUCUAUUGGGGUCCUAUGGGGGUCUAUUGGGGUCCUAUGGGGUCUAUUGGGGUCCUAUGGGGUCUAUUGGGGUCUAUUGGGGUUCUAUGGGGUCUAGUGGGGUCCUAUGGGGUCUAUUGGGGUCCUAUGGGGUCUAUUGGGGUCCUAUGGGGUCCUAUGGGGGUCUAUUGGGGUCCUAUGGGGUCUAUUGGGGUCUAUUGGGGUCCUAUGGGGUCUAUUGGGGACGCCAUGAAACUCUAUGGGGACGUCAUGGGCAGGACCCUAAACAUGUUCCUCGUGGGUCCUAUGGGGUCCUAUGGGGUCUAUUGGGGUCCUAUGGGGUCUAUUGGGGUCCUAUGGGGUCUAGUGGGGUCCUAUGGGGU